GGAGGAGGCUAUCCAGGAUACACGGGGGCUGGGCAAAAAUCCAAGGCACAGAAGGCAGCCAAAUAUGCAGCCAUGCAGGCCUUACUGGGAGCUGGGGGCUACAGAGGUGCUGGCUGUCAGGGCAAAUACUGUGGCCGAAGGAGGAAGUGAGAGACCAACAGACAGGAAGUGACCUCAUUAAAACAAGUGGUGCUACUGCAUGAUUCCAGAUUGUAAAUGUCUAAACUGCCAUAGAAGCUAAAGCUUCAACACAUUCCACGUUACUUUUACUUUUGCUUAGAUUUUUUAUACGAGGGUCUCUUUCAAAAAGAGCAGUGGUUCUCAACCUGUUAGAGACGUGAUUCCUUAAGACAAGGUGAUGCUUCUGCUGCAGGUGAAAUGUGUACUUGUCAUUUUCUUUGUUGGAUAAAUCAGUGAUGGUCAAAGAAUUAAAAAUACACAUCAUUUCACACGAAGAAGCACAAGUUAAAGCAGGGGAAACAUUUGUUAUAAUAGUCAUUUUUUUCCAUUGAAUCACCUUGUGACUCUCUGGUGAUCCUGACCACCAGGCUGAGAACCACUGAAAUAAAAGAUUUCUUUUCAAUUAUAUGACCAAGCAGUCUUAUAAUACAGUUUUUGCUUAUUGUUGUUGUGUUGAACAUCAUUUGUGUUCCUGUGUAAGUAUCACCAUAAAUCCUCUGUGUGAAGACCAAGGACUCCCUCAGGGCAGCUCCUUCAGACCUGUCUGCAUGCUGACACAAGGUUUUUUUUGUUUUUUUUGUUUUGUUUUUUAAAUAUUCUCCAAGGCCACAUUUUUAUCCAGUUAGACUGGAUUUUCUUUAGCUCAUAGAGUGUAAUGUUUGUUGCAUUAAUUCACUGUUUUUCGCUUUUACACCAAAGUGCAAACUCUUGGCUCUAGUCUGUCCAGCAAUGUGUACAGAGAGAAACAGACGGCUGCUAUUUUGGGGAACUGUGAACAAAAGGGAUUCUUAGUGGAAUUUUUCAUGGUGGUGGUUUGAGCAGCCAUUAUCUGAAUCCCUGAAAAGCAGUCUGUGUUCAUUUUAGCUCUGCUCAGGCCUCCGCAGUAUCAACAAAUGUGGAGGCUGAAGGUCCUCGGCUGUUAACACUUGUGAAAUCUUCCUCUCCAUUCACAACACUUAAGGCACUGUUGUAUAGCUACAUAACACUAAUUGGUAUUCAUGUAAAAUUUUGAUUAACAUGCAUAUUUUUUUCACUAUUAGAAUGAUGUAUUUGUUAUGAUAUUCUGAUGUGGCUUAGAUUUGACUUUUACAUUUGCUGUUACGGAAAGCAUUAAAACUACAUGUGAGGUAAUAUGAGCUGAAUACACGAUGCAUUUAAAUGACAUCUGAGGAGCGUUGAUUACUGUGUUUUUCUUUUUUUGAUUUACCUCCUUUUAACACUGUUGGACAACUGUUCACGUUUACUAGUCGUUUUAAAUUAUGCAGAGAAAAGGCAGAAAAGGCUGAGUUCUUUAUUUAGUCUCAUUUUACGAAUUCAAGUGAAUUAAUAUAGUAUUGAAUAUUUGAGUUAUUUCAUUUGUGUGUGUGUGUGUGUGAGUUAUGUAUUACUAUGGUAAAUAUAAGUGCUUUGUUUUCUACAUUGUCCUUGAAUGUGUGCUGAAUCACACUGUAGUCUGUGAUAUCAUUAGGAUAGAAAAAGUGUAACUGAAUCUCAUCUUGCAGUUGAGCUCACAUUUGUGUCUCUAUCGUUUAGCUCAACAUGUGUUUUUAACAGCUGUGGUUUUUAUGUGGCCUAUGAAGAAAACUGUGCACUAAUGUACACUUUCUGACAAUGCUCUCUAAAAUAAAGAAAUGACCAAUGA